rnacentral:rRNA from 1 species
AUUGAACGCUGGCGGCAGGCCUAACACAUGCAAGUCGAGCGGCAGCACAAGUGAGUUUACUCAUGAGGUGGCGAGCGGCGGACGGGUGAGUAAUGCCUAGGGAUCUGCCCAGUCGAGGGGGAUAACAGUUGGAAACGACUGCUAAUACCGCAUACGCCCUACGGGGGAAAGGAGGGGACCUUCGGGCCUUCCGCGAUUGGAUGAACCUAGGUGGGAUUAGCUAGUUGGUGAGGUAAUGGCUCACCAAGGCGACGAUCCCUAGCUGCUCUGAGAGGAUGAUCAGCCACACUGGGACUGAGACACGGCCCAGACUCCUACGGGAGGCAGCAGUGGGGAAUAUUGCACAAUGGGGGAAACCCUGAUGCAGCCAUGCCGUGUGUGUGAAGAAGGCCUUCGGG